ACAGAAUUAAUGCAGCGGCUCCGCAUGGAGACAGUUGUUAAAGUACAAGCGCCUGAAGAUGAGCCUGCGGUCCAUUAGCUAGUUGGUAGAGUAACAGCCUACCAAGGCAACGAUGGAUAGCUGGUCUGAGAGGAUGAUCAGCCACACUGGAACUGAGACACGGUCCAGACUCCUACGGGAGGCAGCAGUAAGGAAUAUUGCUCAAUGGCCGAAAGGCUGAAGCAGCAACGCCGCGUGAAGGAUGAAUGGCCUUUGGCCUGUAAACUUCUGUAAAAGGGAAAAACAGUCAGGUAUAUCCUGAUUUGAUUGUACCUUUGAAGUAAGCCCCGGCUAACUACGUG
rnacentral:rRNA from 1 species